AUGCCGCUGCGAUUUUUCUACGACGACCACAAGCUUCAUGCCUUGCACCCUUUCAGCUGCUUCCGCGACAACUCCGAUGAAGCACCUGUUUUCGACCCAAGUUCAGACGCCCUUCAUCCUAUUCCACCGCCAGUUUCCCCAUGCCGCGCCGAUAAUCCAUCCCCCACAUCGCGUCAUACCGCCGCCAUUGUGCACGGCCAACACGCCUUCGAAGCCACUCUCUGA